GCAGUCGUGGCCGAGUGGUUAAGGCGAUGGACUUGAAAUCCAUUGGGGUCUCCCCGCACAGGUUCGAAUCCUGUCGACUGCG
rnacentral:tRNA from 1 species